CCCGCCCGGCGCGCCCCCAACCGCCGCUCCCGCCCCCGGCCGGCCGGUCAGCGAGCCGCCGAGCGGCCUCCGCGCCCGGCCUCCGUGAGGGGGGCGCCCGGCCGGACCCUGAGCCUCGCUCUCUCGCGCUGCGGCCGUCCGCGCCUCCUCGGCCGCCUGCCCGGCAUGAAGACCAAGUUCUGCAACGGGGGCGAGGCGGAGCCCUCGCCGCUCGGGCUGCUCCUGAGCUGCGGCGGCGGCGGCGGCGGCAGCGCGGCCCCGGCGCCCGGCGUGGGGCAGCAGCGCGACGCCGCCAGCGACCUCGAGCCCAAGCAGCUGGGCGGCCCGCAGCCGCCGCUCGCGCUGCCGCCGCCGCCGCCGCCGCCGCCGCUGCCGCUGCCGCCGCCGCCGCCGCCGCCGCCGCCGCCGGCCGACGAGCAGCCCGAGCCUCGGACGCGGCGCAGGGCCUAUCUGUGGUGCAAGGAGUUCCUGCCCGGCGCCUGGCGGGGCCUUCGCGAGGACCAGUUCCACAUCAGUGUCAUCAGAGGUGGCCUCAGUAACAUGCUGUUCCAGUGCUCCUUACCUGACACCGUGGCCACCAUUGGUGACGAGCCUCGGAAAGUGCUCCUGCGGCUGUACGGGGCGAUUUUAAAGAUGAGGUCCUGUAAUAAAGAGGGAUCCGAACAAGCUCAGAAAGAAAAUGAAUUUCAAGGGGCCGAGGCCAUGGUUCUGGAGAGCGUUAUGUUUGCCAUUCUCGCAGAGAGGUCGCUGGGACCCAAGCUCUACGGCAUCUUCCCCCAAGGCCGCCUGGAACAGUUUAUCCCGAGCCGGCGAUUAGACACAGAAGAAUUAAGUUUGCCAGAUGUUUCUGCAGAAAUAGCUGAGAAAAUGGCCACAUUUCAUGGUAUGAAAAUGCCAUUCAAUAAGGAACCAAAAUGGCUUUUUGGAACAAUGGAAAAGUAUCUGAAUCAAGUCCUGAGGGUCAAGUUUGCCGGGGAGCCCAGAGUGAAGCAGCUCCACAGACUCCUCCGCCACAACCUGCCUUUGGAACUGGAGAACCUGAGGUCGCUGCUGGAAUCCACCCCUUCUCCAGUUGUGUUUUGUCAUAACGACUGUCAGGAAGGUAACAUCUUAAUGCUGGAAGGCAGAGAGAAUUCUGAAAAGCAGAAACUGAUGCUCAUCGACUUCGAAUACAGCAGUUAUAAUUACAGGGGAUUUGACAUUGGGAAUCAUUUCUGUGAGUGGAUGUAUGACUAUAACUAUGAAAAGUACCCUUUCUUCAGAGCCAACAUCCUGAAGUACCCCACCAAGAAACAGCAGCUCCACUUUAUUUCCAAUUACUUGGCCGCAUUCCAAAAUGAAUUUGAAAACCUCAGUAAUGAAGAAAAGUGCAUUAUAGAAGAAGAGAUGUUGCUUGAAGUCAAUAGGUUUGCCCUUGCGUCCCAUUUCUUCUGGGGACUCUGGUCCAUCGUACAGGCCAAGAUUUCUUCCAUUGAAUUUGGGUACAUGAGGGCUCCCUGUGCCCCCGCGAGUUGUGAAUGAGGCGACCCGGCACCAGGACAGCAGGCUCAGCCCAGGAAGCUGAGGGUUAAAGGCUGCAUAAUUUAACCCACUCUCACUGGCUCCGCAUCUGCAAAGGACUAUGCCCAGGCAAGGUUCGAUGCCUAUUUCGACCAGAAGAGGAAGCUCGGGGUGUGAGCGUGGGAGGCGCCAGCGGCUUCAUCCCUGGACCGUGCAGGGGCGGCCGAGCCAGAGGGGCCCUCGGUGCUCCGACUGCCGUACCUGCGGCACGAAGGCUCGGAUGUCUCGCUGCCCAACACAGAUGUGUAUGAUACGAAAGACUGUAUUAAAACUGAGUAACAUUUAUUUCA